CUCGUACUUCGAUGAAGAGCGUAGACAGCCGCGCGAACUGAUACGAAUUGCAGGUCUCAGUGAACAUCGACACCUCAAACUCACGUGGCGGCCUCGAGAUCU